rnacentral:rRNA from 1 species
UACGUAGGGGGCAAGCGUUGUCCGGAAUCAUUGGCGUAAAGAGCGUGUAGGCGGCCAGAAAAGUCCGCUGUGAAAACUCGAGGCUCAACUUCGAGCUGUCGGUGGAAACUUUCUGGCUAGAGUCCGGAAGAGGAGAAUGGAAUUCCUGGUGUAGCGGUGAAAUGCGCAGAUAUCAGGAAGAACACCCGUGGCGAAGGCGGUUCUCUGGGACGGUACUGACGCUGAGACGCGAAAGCGUGGGGAGCGAACAGG